CGCCGCUCAGAAACUACAAAGGAAGUUGACGGGGCCCGCACAAGCGGUGGAGUAUGUGGUUUAAUUCGAUGCAACGCGAAGAACCUUACCUGGUCUUGACAUCCCGGAGACCCUUAGGAAACUAGGGGGUGCUUCCAUCUGGAAGAAUCUGGAGACAGGUGCUGCAUGGCUGUCGUCAGCUCGUGUCGUGAGAUGCUGGGUUAAGUCCCGCAACGAGCGCAACCCUUGCCUUUAGUUGCCAGCAGUUCGGCUGGGCACUCUAAAGGGACUGCCGGUGUUAAACCGGAGGAAGGUGGGGAUGACGUCAAGUCCUCAUGGCCUUUAUGACCAGGGCUACACACGUACUACAAUGGCCGAUACAAAGGGCAGCGACACUGCGAGGUGAAGCCAAUCCCGUAAAAUCGGUCUCAGUCCGGAUUGGAGUCUGCAACUCGACUCCAUGAAGUUGGAAUCGCUAGUAAUCGUGGAUCAGCAUGCCACGGUGAAUACGUUCCCGGGCCUU
rnacentral:rRNA from 1 species